rnacentral:rRNA from 1 species
GUGCCAGCCGCCGCGGUAAUACCGGCAGCUCGAGUGAUGGCCGCUUUUAUUGGGCCUAAAGCGUUCGUAGCUGGCCAGUCAAGUCUGUCGGGAAAUCCAGUGGCUUAACCACUGGACGUCCGGCGGAAACUGAUUGGCUUGGGACCGGGAGACUCGAGGAGUACGUUCGGGGUAGGAGUGAAAUCCUAUAAUCCUGAACGGACUACCGAUGGCGAAAGCACCUCGAGAGCACGGAUCCGACAGUGAGGAACGAAAGCUGGGGUCUCGAACCGGAUUAGAAACCCGUGUAGUCC